ensembl:lncRNA LINC01696 long intergenic non-protein coding RNA 1696
GAGACCCAAAGGCUAUAAAAAAGGUAGAUGUCUGCGGAGAAGAGGAGUGCCUGCUCCCUCUCCCUGUUGGCUUCCUCCUCCCCACCUUGUCCUGCCAAUCAGCUGAGAGACUGACUCCACACAGCUUUAUCUCACCUCAAGGAAAUGCUAACAUACGCCAUCAGCCAGCACACCAUUGACAGAGAAGUGAGGAGCAAGUGGUUCAGCAGUUCAGUAAAUAUGGCGGUCAACCUGAAACACUCUGCCCACUUGAGGAAGACUUGACUGUCAUCUGCACCCCGCAAGACAUCAGAUGUUCUGCACAUUGCCUUCCUGCUCCUUCUGCGACCACAGGGAGAGGAAGCACGGCUGCUGCAAGAGCUGCCAAAAGGCAGGGAGCAAGAGCUAAUUCCACAACAAGAGCAAGCUCACAGUCGGUGAUCUCAGUGUCAGAGUCCCACUCUACCCUCUUGGGAUCCUAUGUAUCUGAGCUGCUCUAUGUUUAAUCAUCAUCAUGUCACCAUCAAAAAUAUUUAUUAAACCGCUGCAUAC